GAUGAACGCUGGCGGCGUGCCUAAUACAUGCAAGUCGAGCGAACAGACGAUGAGCUUGCUCCUCUGACGUUAGCGGCGGUCGGGUGAGUAACACGUGGAUAACCUACCUUUAAUACUUUGAUAACUUCGGGAAACCGUAGCUAAUACCGGAUAAUAUAUUUAACCGCAUGGUUCAAUAGUGAAAGACGGUUUUGCUGUCACUUAUAUAUUGAUCAGCGCCGCAUUAGCUAGUUGGUAAGGUAACGGCUUACUAAGGCAACGAUGCUUAGCCGACCUGAGAGGGCGAUCGGCCAAACAGGAAAUGAGACACGGACCAGAAUACUACGGGAGGAAGCAGUAGGGAAUAGUACGCAAUGGGAGAAAGCAUGACGGAGCAAAAGCGAGUGAGUGAAGAAGGUCUUCGGAUCGUAAAAAUCUGAAAUUAGGGAAGAAAAAAUGUGUAAGUAAGUAUGAACGUCAGGACGGUAACGAAUAAGAAAGCAACGGCUAACAACGUG
rnacentral:rRNA from 1 species